GACGAACGCUGGCGGCGUGCUUAACACAUGCAAGUCGAACGGAAAGGCCCUGCUUUUGUGGGGUGCUCGAGUGGCGAACGGGUGAGCAACACGUGAGUAACCUGCCCUUGACUUUGGGAUAACUUCAGGAAACUGGGGCUAAUACCGGAUAGGAGCUCCCGCCGCAUGGUGGGGGUUGGAAAGUUUCGGCGGUUGGGGAUGGACUCGCGGCUUAUCAGCUUGUUGGUGGGGUAGUGGCUUACCAAGGCUUUGACGGGUAGCCGGCCUGAGAGGGUGACCGGCCACAUUAGGACUGAGAUACGGCCCAGACUCCUACGGGAGGCAGCAAUGGGGAAUAUUGCACAAUGGGCGGGAGCCUGAUGCAACAACGCCGCGUGCGGGAUGACGGCCUUCGGGUUGUGAACCACUUUCGCCUGUAACGAAACGUGAAUGACGGUAAUGGGUAAAGAAGCACCGGCUAACUACGUG
rnacentral:rRNA from 1 species